GCCAGCAUGGUAUAGCGGUCUGAGUGUUGGAUUAUGACUCUAGAGACCAGGGUUCGAUUUCAUGCCCAGGCA